rnacentral:rRNA from 1 species
GACGAACGCUGGCGGCAGGCCUAACACAUGCAAGUCGAACGAGUGGCAGACGGGUGAGUAAUGUCUGGGAAACUGCCCGAUGGAGGGGGAUAACUACUGGACACGGUAGCUAAUACCGCAUCCCAUCGGAUGUGCCCAGAUGGGAUUAGCUAGUCGGUGGGGUAACGGCUCACCUGGGCGCCGAUCCCUAGCUGGUCUGAGAGGAUGACCAGCCAAACUGGAACUGAGACACGGUCAAGACUCCUACGGGAGGCAGCAGUGGGGAAUAUUGCACAAGGGGCGCAAGCCUGAUGCAGCCAUGCCGCGUGUAUGAAGAAGGCCUUCGGGUUGUAAAGUACUUUCAGCGAGGAGGCGUUACUCGCAGAAGAAGCACCGGCUAACUCCGUGCCAGCCGCCGCGGUAAUUC